rnacentral:rRNA from 1 species
UACGUAGGAUCCAAGCGUUAUCCGGAUUUAUUGGGUUUAAGGGGUGCGUAGGUGGUUCAUUAAGUUAGGGGUGAAAGACGGCAGCUUAACUGUCGCAGUGCCUUUGAUACUGAUGAACUUGAAUGAACUAGAGGUAGGCGGAGUGUGACAAGUAGCGGUGAAAUGCAUAGAUAUGUCACAGAACACCAAUUGCGAAGGCAGCUUACUAUGGUUUGAUUGACACUGAGGCACGAAAGCGUGGGGAUCAAACAGG